AAAGGAUGAAGAACAAAUUGGCUAGUGGAUGCAAUAUUGAAGAUCAAACUCAACACUUGAAAAAUUAAAGAGGACGUUGAUUGCACAAUGGAGGAACUCAAGGACUACAUUGCAUUAACUUAAAAAGUGGAAUGACUUGAAGAAUAAUUAUGGUAUCAAUUGGUGUUGAUUUAACCCCUACAUGCAUACAUGAAUUAGAGUUUUCUUUAGGUAACAAAGGUGGCAAGCAAUUGGCAUUAUUAGAGUCUAUUUUGAAGUCAUAUUGUGGCUAGGUUAUUUUAUAUAUAUAAGCACGUACAAGCCAAGUAAAGAGAGGAGAGAGAGUCCUUUUCUUAGUCAACUAGGGUGGCCCUAGGUUUUUUAUAUAUAAUAUAUAUAUAUACAUACCAACUAGGAGGAAUGGAGGGGAGUUUUCUGAAGACAAAAAAAUCGGUGGAAACAGCCACAUAAAAAAAAAAGACGAACUGGAGAGGUGGAAUUGGGGAGACAACGUGGGGGAAUUGGUUGCUGGAAAUUGGAAUUACACACAUAUAUAUUUACCCCUUGCAGCCAGCAGAACGCACUUUCUGGGAAGGAGAACUGCAGCUGGCUAAAUACAACAAUUCGGAAGAAUUUCUGACGGCUGGACAAAAAUUCAAUUGCGGACUGCUAGGAUUAAUUGGAAGAAGGCCCGACACACAAUUGGAUAAAUCAAUUGAGAAACGUGUAAAGCAUAGAGGGAAGCCGAAAGCAGAUUUGGAGGCAAGAAUUGAAGCUGCCGGCAAUUAUUAUAUUUACAUACACACCAAUAGACGGCAGACGGCAGCUUGAGGAGGCAGAAUUGAGAAGUUCCAGCUGGGAUUACAAUUAAAUAUUGGAGGCACUCACAGAAAUUGAGGAGAGGCACACAGAGAAGCUCAGAAAUUGCUGGAAUUUAUCACUUAUACGCACAGGAAACCGAGGAAGAAUUGGACUCCAAACAUUGAAGCUGUCGGCUGGAGUAAAAUUGAAAUUUCAUUCACGUUUCGUCAAUUAAUCCCGGUGAUGUCAUCCAUUAUUUUAUCUUGUGUUUCUUCCAUUAUUAUGAAUAGCUAAAUUUGAUUUAGGGCGAACAAUCUAACUUAAUUGGAUACCUUUAUUUCGUUGAAUUAAGAUUCUAGUGCUUUAAUUUUUGAUGUGUUGAUUUUAAUGUCGUGCUUAAUGCUUUUAAUUACUUGAUAACUAAUUAGAGGAUUUGUGAACAAUGAUUGCGUAGAGAUACGGAUUAUUUGUUUAGACUACAUGUUAAAAUUCGGUAAAUUGAUAUAACGUGUAGAGAUACCUUUAUUGAUUGCUGCGGUCGUGUGUGAAUUAUUAGAAUUAAUGUUGCGUUUAAUUAAAUUUAAUUUGCAUAGAGAUAUGAAAUUGAACUAAUUAAAUAGGCUCAACGAGAACUUGAGAGGGGUAAGUUGAAUACCAUAGAAGAAUUUGAUCGAACACUACUUUAGGUUGUAUGAAUCUUGAUUUACGAAGUAAAGGUGACCAUUAGUUCCGCCCUAACGUCCUUUAUUAUUUGAAUUCUCAAUCAUUUUCUAUUGCAUCCAUUCG
rnacentral:lncRNA from 1 species